AUUGAACGCUGGCGGCAGGCCUAACACAUGCAAGUCGAACGCGUGGCGGACGGGUGAGUUAUGUCUGGGAAACUGCCUGAUGGGGGGGGAUAACUACGGGAAACGGUAGCUAAUACCGCAUAACAUCAGAUGUGCCCAGAUGGGAUUAGCUAGUUGGUGGGGUAACGGCUCACCAAGGCGAAGAUCCCUAGCUGGUCUGAGAGGAUGACCAGGCACAAUGGAACUGAGACACGGUCCAGACGCCUACGGGAGGAAGCAGUGGGGAAUAUUGCACAAUAGGCGCAAGCCUGAUGCAGCCAUGCAGCGUGUAUGAAGAAGGCCUUCGGGUUGUAAAGUACUUUCAGCGGGGAGGCGUUACCCGCAGAAGAAGCACCGGCUAACUCCGUGCCAGCAGCCGCGGUAAUAC
rnacentral:rRNA from 1 species